rnacentral:rRNA from 1 species
GUCGUACCACGCCGUUCCA